GACGAACGCUGGCGGCGUGCUUAACACAUGCAAGUCGAACGGUGAAGCCCUUCGGGGUGGAUCAGUGGCGAACGGGUGAGUAACACGUGAGCAACCUGCCCCUGGCUCUGGGACAACCACUGGAAACGGUGGCUAAUACCGGAUACGACCCGCCUCGGCAUCGAGUGUGGGUGGAAAGUUUUUCGGCUGGGGAUGGGCUCGCGGCCUAUCAGCUUGUUGGUGAGGUGAAGGCUCACCAAGGCGACGACGGGUAGCCGGCCUGAGAGGGCGACCAGCCACACUGGGACUGAGACACGGCCCAGACUCCUACGGGAGGCAGCAGUGGGGAAUAUUGCACAAUGGGCGAAAGCCUGAUGCAGCGACGCCGCGUGAGGGAUGACGGCCUUCGGGUUGUAAACCUCUUUCAGCUCCGAAGAAGCGAAAGUGACGGUAGGAGCAGAAGAAGCACCGGCUAACUACGUG
rnacentral:rRNA from 1 species